CCCCAUAUUGAAGUGGUCUAGUGUUAAAGUUUUCAGACUAUCUGAUGGAAAGUUUCAGAAGCUUGUUGUGACGGUCCUUAACCUUCCCAACAAUGCAAUUUUCCUGCAUUUAGUUUUUUGCUCCAGGAACUGCACAUUGUUCACAUACUGUGAACACUUUGUUCUUAUUUUGUCCAGUCAACAACCAUUCCACAUUUCAGAAAUAACUCAGAGAGUCUCUCAAGACCCAAGUCUGAUGCAUAGGACUUUUCCUAUGAAUGACACUGUAAAUGAAGUAAACUUUUCGAAUGAGAGCUUCUUAUUCAAAAUCCGUGAUACUUUCUUCAGGAAUAAAUAUACCAACAUGACCAACAUGGAAGACAUUUCUGCUGACAGUGAAAAAGGCAGCUCUACUAGCCCUGAUAAGAACCUAGCCAAGGGUUUGAGACACACAUCCAACACAGAGUAAGAAUUGUAGCAGUUUACUGAGGAGCUCUGCUUUGCUCAUGUGGGGAAGACUUGGAAUCAGGAAAAGAAAGAGAUAUGUUUUGAGCAUCACACUAAACAAGGUAAAUCAUGUCUUCAUGAUUUAAAGUGCUUUGCUGAAUUGAAUGUAUAUGAUCAGGAUACUGCUCACAGGAGUAUUGCAAAGAUAUAAAAGGAUGGAAUGUAUACUGGAUGUAUUCUGAGUGGGAAAGAGGAAAAGAAGUAUGGCAGGCGUUUUUCUUCAGUGAUGACAUUUGCUGAUUGAAGCUGGACAAACCUCUGAGGUGGAAUGUGUACUGUGCACUCAUUCCUGAAAUCCUUGUUUUGUGUUCUUUUAGGUAAUAUAUAGCUAUGCCAUGAAACAUUAUUAUUCUUUCGAGUCUGUUUUGUCCAUUCCAUGGCUCCUGGUAUAGCAUGUGAAUUGCUCUCAGGAUGCUACUUGGAUAUGCAUGAAAAGAAUUAAAAAAAAAAAACCUACCAGGCUACUCCUCUCACCUUUGACAAUUAAAUACAGAAUUCAGCUUAAAUAUCUCAAAUAUAUUACCAGGUUUGUAUAAAAUAUUUUUUCUUUUGUUUUUUACAGUUAAUUUAAAAGGUACUGUAAGUGCAUUUUGUUUGUAUUUUUAUUCAAGCACUCCAAAUCACUUCAAAGCAAAUUGAAGAGUACAGAAGUGAUCUCUACCCCACAUUCAUAAAGCAUGCCAGCAGAAAAGCAAUCCUGCUGUAGUGGUUGAAUAUGCUCACUCUUAUCCCAGCUGAUCAGAUAUUAGGCCCAUUCUAUUACACAUACACAUCACAACUACGACCUGCAGUCUGCAUUAUUUCAGUUCAUGAUAUUACAAAAUAAAAUCACCUAUCAUCAACA
ensembl:lncRNA